rnacentral:lncRNA from 1 species
UCCUCAGAUUCUCAUCAGUUUACUUGUCGUGGGCCCGAUUUUGUGCAACAAUGAUGGUAAGUCAUUUCUUCAUUUAUAUAUCUCAAACCUUUUAAUGAUAAUUAAUAUCAGUGAUAAUUAUCAGUGUUCAUUAUCCAAGUUUUGCGACUCCACGCAGAAUUAAAAAUGGCCGCCGUCAUACGUCUAAAGUUUAAAAUAAAACCAGUUAUAUGUGGGACGUCUUAUUCCUGAUGUUAUUCCUCCCAUAACAUGCAAGUUAAGUCUCGUAAAUUGAAGUACUUCCGUCGUUUGCGUAUUUCAUUCAAAAUUUCAGUACUUUGGUACUUUGGUCGACUCCAUGGAAGUUUCAACCGAAGUACCGAGGUACUUCAAAAGUGUAAUUCGAACUUCGGCGGCUAGACCUUAAUUUUUCGAAUGUACAACCCGAAAACUUCAAACUUCAAACGGCUUCGGGUCACUCGGGUUUUUAUUUCUCGCAAGAAGGUUUUUAUUUCUCUAAAUAAGGCAUUCUGGCACUUUGUUUCAGAGUCAAACCAGCGGAGAAAGAAGAUGAAGAGUGCCAGAUUAAGGGGUAUGUGUUCGCGGACAAUAAAAAGAUUUGGGUUGCCAAACCAAAGGCGAAUGGAGACGGGAAAAAGGUGUGCCAGCUUACGGAAGAACUGCUUUCUUAUGUGGGCACGAUAGUAGAUGAGGAGGAGCUGGAAGAUUUUAAGCGAGUAUAUAUUCAAUGCGAAACUGCAGGCCGAAAAUGGUUGAAGAAUAAACAAAUAAACGUUAAAACUCCGGGGACAGAAUUAUUCCCGCCGCAUUCAGGAAAGCACCAGACGCCGCCUCAUUCACCUGAUCACGAUAUGAGACACCAAUCACUCUCACGCAAGCGCAAGGAAGAGCCUUCAACUUCGCAUCAACACCAGAGGGGGCACCCUUCACAUUCAGACGAUCACAGUGAGCACAGCCUGGGACAAGGCAAGCGUCACUCCGAAACGGGAAAAUUUACGCGAUCGGUCCAAAUUGCAGACACCGAUUCUGCGAUAGGGGCGCCUCUGGAGUCCUGCAGGCGCAUGUGCAACCAAAAGUACGGCUUCGUCGAGCGCAAAGACGAACCUAACACGCCAGUUACCGUCGGGCAAUUCAAUGCAACCGAGCACUGCGUGUGCAAAAAGAACCCAGUUAUUGUCACCCUCCUAAAGGAGCAGUUCCCUGACCCCAAGGCUAAGGAGCACAUAGAGGUCUUUGGAGACCAGAUCGGCGAAGGAUCUAAAUUUGGAUGGGUCCAUGACGAUGAUAUAAAUCCGUGGAUGAGCAAAAUAUUCCUGGCAAAAUACGGCCUCACCGUUGUUAUUCCCGUUGGCGACCGCAAACCAGAAGAAAUAGUAACUCAGAGGCCGAACACCUACUGCCCCACAGAGAUUCAAAAGGAAACCCAAGGCGUGCAAUCGCAAGUGUCACAAUAGUGAAGGGUAUAUAAUCAUCCACCCUGGACCCAAUAAUCCCGAGGGUAGAGGGCAUACCAGUCCCAAGACGACAGGACAUAAGUCUCAUGCGGUCGAUGCCGAGGGAGAUACACAUACCAAACUCGAUGGGGCCGAUACCGGGAAAAUAAUACACAUAGCGAAUGGAGUCGUGAAGAAAUGGGGUCCAGAAGGAGAACAGUAUAACAUAUGCCAAUGCGUGGUCAACGAAGAGCUUGUCGAGCACCUCAAGGCCUCUGGAUUGCCCGAAACGGAGUUCGUGGAAAGUUUCGAAAAGGAACCCGGGAGAGGUCAAGAAUGGCUCGUCUUGCACGGCUUCAACAUCAAGCGCCACGAGCCAAGAUGGGUUGCCAAGGAGCCUGAAAGAAAGAGGCUGGCUGAACAGAAGAGGAAGGAGAGGGCUGCCGAGAUUAAGGCGGAGAAGGAGGCUCGCCGGAAGCAGCUUGAGGAGAUGAGAAUUGCGAUGAUGAACGAUAUUCUGGCUCAGGAAGAGAGUGAGGAAAAUAGUGAGGCUAAGAGUGAGGCAAAGAGUGAGGCAAAGAGUGAGGCAAAGAGUGAGGCUAAGAGUGAGGCAAAGAGUAAGGAAAAGAGGCGACGAGUAUUCAACAUCGGUUUUCAGAGGAGAAAAGGAAAGGGUUCGGUCUAGAUUCGUCUAAACUAGAUUAGACUCGCCUCUACUAGAAUGUAGAUCGUCUAAACUCCAGCUGGGCUGAUUUUGAGUCAUGAGUCAGAUUUCUACCUCGAGGUCAUGAUUAUAUUACAAAAGCAACCUCAGCAGGGUAGAGAAAAGCAAAUAAAAAUGGAAAACGUGUAAUUUAAUGUAACCGGUUACGUUAAAUUACACGUUUUUCAUUCCUAUUUGCUUUUCUCUACCCUGCUGAGGUUGCUUUUGUAAUAUAAUCAUGAACUCCAGGUAGAAAUCGGACUCACGACUCAACAUGUUGACAAAAAAACAUGUUUCAUAAAAAAAGGGGGGAGGGGCCGGUAGAGAAAAGCAAAUAGAAAUGAAAAACGUGUGAUUUAACGUAACCGGUUACAUUAAAUUACACGUUUUCCAUUCCUAUUUGCUUUUCUCUACCCGCCCUCCCCCUCUUUUCAUGAAACAUGUUUUUUUUUCUAGUUUAUUGAUAAAGAUAUAAUACACGUAUAUACAAUAAUUUGUUCAGAGUAAAUUUCUUAAUCUACGGUUCCUGAUCUGAUGAUUAUCCGCCGAUAUACCUAAACAGCUGUAACUUUGAGAGAAGUAUUAAAAAAAAACAAGCUGCUGAGCUCGCCUUCCUGAAACUAUUAACAUGACAAAUUUUUCACACCGCAAUAGAUAAACUGAGUUUUUUUAUUUUUUUAUUUGCAUAUAUACAGGUGAAUGAUCACUGGAUUCAGUGUAAUAAGUUUGUGCAUUUUAAUUUGUUAAAUUUGUGAAGACAACAUCUAGCUGUAAUCCAUAUUGUGUUGUUACAGAGUGUGACGGUAAUGCUGAAUGAAUUUCGUAUUUAUUAAAUAAUUCAUGAUAAUUUGUUUUUUCUUGUUUCAACACGGUCAUAAUUGAAAUCUCCUAUAAUUAUAAUGGAAAGACUCGUGUUGAGUUUGGUUGAAAAAUUAGAUUGCACAAGAUAAUAUGAACUCAUAUUAAUGAGCUAGUUGCGCUGGUCUCAAAAUCGUGUUUUGAUGCCUGAUUCUUGUCAACUAAAAACAUAGAUCUGUCAAACAGCAACUUUCUACGUUCAAUAUUAACCGAGAUAUCGGCCUUUGAAAAGUCAGGCUUUUAGCAUAAUCCGCAGAGGUAGUGACAUCCUUGGUUUAUUCAACCUUGCUAUUUUUAGUCAAUGUAACGCACAUUUGCUCUGGUUAUAAAAUGUAAAACUCGGCAAAAAACGUACAUAAAAAAAAAUUCUGUGACCAGCGCAACUAGCCCAUUAAUACAAGUCCAUAUUAUCUUGUACAAUCUAAUUUUUCAACCAAAUUCAACACGAGUCUUUUACAUAACAAGUAAAUUUGAAUCUGUAAACUAUAAACCUUUUUUUCCUGCGGACAAUCAUGUCUAAAAUUCUAUCACAUUUAUUCUUCAUCUUUCACAAAAUUAUUAAGAUUUAUCCAAUGGUGUGUACUAUACUUAUUAAGUGUAAGUUGAAGAAAAAUUUUAUAAAGAUCUUCCUGGUCUAAAAAUUUUAUGUGUAAAUUGCUAUGUACAUUUACAUGAAUAAAAAAAAAAAUUAAGAUUUAUCCGAAAAGUAAGUACACAGUACAGUACUUCGUAAAAAAAUAGGAAGAUAAUAAAUGAGUUGAA